UCUCUCCCUCCUCUCGAAACUCAAGCUCAAACUCUCAUUGCGACUAUCAGGAAUUGCUAAAGGAAUUGAUUUUCACGAUUUUAUUGAUCAAUUUGGAGAAGGUAAUAGCGUGUUAUCUCAUUCUACAUACCCUAUGGUGCUGAUCUGAUUGCUUCGACAAUUCCUAAUCAGCUUAAUGCUCGGGUCUUUUAGGAAAUUGGGUUUAUUAAAAUUUAAUUUGUGUUAGCAUUGGAGCUACCAAAACAUGGGGGUUAAAGAUCCGCUGUCAUGUAUCCGGCUUCAAUGAAACCCGAAAAAGAGAUUGACUUCCUUUGUGUUUGAUGUAUAAAUUCCCAGGAUGUGGGAACAAAACAGCAGCAUCAACAGCAAAGGGAGAACAUUGAAACUUCAGGCAGUAAAUUCAAAUGCUGAGAGAUUGAAACCCACAAAUCCUGAUCAGUAAACUUAAAAGUGUCCGGAGGCGAUUGAGAUAUGGGCAUAAAGAAAGAAAACACCAUUUACAGGCGUACAACUUUAUUUUAUUUUUUUGGUUCUGAAUUUUUGGAGCAAAAAGAUGCAGGCUUAUGCAGAACUUCUCGAGGAAGGCGAUCCAAAAAUUCCAGCAUGGUUCUUCAGUCCCAAGGAUGGUUUGAAUGUUGGAUUAAAUUCACCACUCCUCUGUUUAUUUAAGGACUGCUUAUGUUAAUUCAGAAGGUAUCACCACCCUUAAAGGUUUCUCAUUGAAGUUAGCAUUGGAAGUGGUUCACUUGAUGCUGCAUUCUGUGAUAAUCUGCGAGAUCAGUCUUCACUAUUAGAAGGGUUACAUGUGUAAAAGCUUAAUCAUUUGAGUGUUGGUCAAUAACACAAAAUGAGCAGUUGCUUGCUACUGGAAGCUCAGAGGGAACCUUGGUUAGAAGUUUUAAAAUUUGUUGCAAGAGGUUCACGCGCACGAUUUGAAAGAAGAACUAAAGUGUUGCUAUCAACAAGUUCAGGUUCAAAAACUCUUUCACUAGGAUAGUCCUCUCAGCGUCAAGAUCACAGCCGUUGUUGCUAUAGGAGAAACCUGACAUCUAAGCUUUUUGGCAAAGUUCUUAGUUUCAUACCUUAUCCAGGUGCAGGUGCCGCUAUUUGUCUUGGUGAAUCAUUCUUUAGUCAUAACUCUAUAACUCCAGCCUCAUAUGUUUCGUUCAUUUUCCUAUAUCUGUGCAUUUUCUUGAUUGUUUCCUGUCCCAAAUGCUUUUAUGCAUCCCGAUAUACUGUUAGUCAGUCAUUCAAAUUGGGCCAACUAUAAGAUUCACUAUGAGCUGAUCCAGAGUACGUAGGGAUUUCUUUAAUAGUUUCUGCCUAGAUGAGUGCCUCAGCAUGAUUCUGUUGAACCAACUAUAAGAUCCUUGCAUGUAAGUUAUCUUUCUGAUUUAUUUUACUCAAAUAUCAGUAAUGUAAGAGUGACUUGAACAUGAAGAGAAAGUACUCGCUGAGUUUCUCUAACGUAUGUCUACGCGAAACUACGUUGUUGGAUAUUCAUAAACUAGAUAACUUUGAUGGUGGGGAUUACAGGCAGUUUGAACCCUCAUUUAAAACCACCACUAUCACUUUUAAUACCAUAGAAACAAUAUGUCUCAGUAGAUGACUAAUUUUGGUGUCUUGGACUUGACUCAACUAAUCCACAUAGGCAUGCGUAAGUAGCAGCCACUUAAGUAACCUCUAAGUGAUGUCAUUGUGGUACCCUAUCAAUUUGGUAUGCGAUUUUCUUCUUGAUUUGGUUAUCUAAUGGAUGAUUAAUGCAAGGAAAAUCGUGUAUAAAUAACUGAAAUUAGGGGACUUCUUAGUUGGUAGGAAGGGGUUAUUUAAUGAGAAUAGAAGACAGAAAAUAGAAAAUUGGAGAAGUUGAUGAUGUUUUUGUUGCGGGUAUUACGGAUGCUGAGACUAUUGUACAUGGAAUUCAGGUAGGGGAGGGGUUAUUAUUUUAUGUGUUUAACUUAUGAACUGUUUUGGUACAGAUAUAUCUAAGAUUAACUUGCUUAUCAUAGAAUCAGAGAAUCUCGAAGUCCACUGUUUCAUCUUUUCUUUCAUUUGAAACCUGCAAAAGCAAUUGUAGAUGCGAUUCAGGUAAGGGAGGGAGUAUUAUUUUAUUUGUACAACUUAUGAACUGUUAUAGAAUAGGAAUCUCUUAGAUUAACUUGCUUAUCAUAGAAAACAGGAAUCUCUAAGUUCAUCGCUGCUUUCAGUUGGAACCUGCAAAAGCAAUUGAGAAUGAGAACUAUGCUUUAGCAGCUGGAAUUCAAGAUCAAAAUUCGGAGUUAGAGAGUGGUGGGGCGAGAUGACGUUACUAGGUCUGUUCACGUCUCUGACCUUGAUCGACAUGUAUUUCAGUAAUUGUAUUCUCACAAUUAAGCUUCUAACUUUAUUUUAUUUUAUUAUUAUUUUUUUGUGGGUGUGUGUUCUUGAAUCCUGAGGUCCACGGGUAACAUUGCUUUGUCAAUUAGGUUACCGGAGAACAGCUUGCAGCGCUCUUCCUAGAUAGUCCAUAUCUGGUGAAUGAUCUUUGUAGGAACCUCUUUGAUGUCAUAUGAAGCUUUUUCAACAAGUUUUGUCAUAGUUUCGAGGGCUUGGGACCAACAAUAUACAAUAGUAAAACAGGCAUAUUUUUUUGCUGUUGGGGCUUGCACUGCAAUAGUAAAACAUGUUUAUCUUUUGUUGUGCUAAAAUACUUUGCUUGGUUGGUUGCCUGUGACCUACCAUCUUAAAUCGUGUUCAAUUUUUUUUAGUUAUCGGAAUCUUGAAAUGUUAUAUAAUAUGGUACAUCAUUAGUUCUACUAAAUUAUGGGUGUAACUUUCUUUUGAUGCAUGCUAAAUAGUUUUAUAUAGUUAUUUCUUUCAUGUAGUUCGAUAAUCUAAUUACUUUGUUCACUUUGGAGCCACCGGGUAGAACAUCUUUAAGGAUGCAGACAAGUUCCUUUGGAAAUGCAAAGGACUCUGGGAAACCCUAUCAGAGGCACGUGGAAUAGGCCUUUGACGGGCUUGGAAUUUUACUUCUUUUGACCUCCAAUCAGCAGCUAUUCAGGUGGAUGUUCAUGUCUCUAUAAGUGUGGUUGUUAAUAAGUGGAAGGAUGAGAACGAUAAAUUCAUGACUUCUAGGCAGUGGCUUGAUUUCUGCAGGGUAGAGAAUUCCACAAGUGAAGGAUAUCCUGGACUUGGGAGCAUAACCGGUCAAGAUUUUUUCCGUUCCUCCAUUUUUUUUAUAGAAUCAAGACUCGGUUCUCUAAUUGAGCUGGAAAGGAAUCAAGCUGAGGUUAUGUUUACAAUUCCCAUCACAUAUCUCCUGCUUAUGGAUUGUUUGAUUAUAAUUCACAUCAAUAGUUGAGAAGCCAGUGGCAUCAGGAAGUUAUGCUGAAGCUAUGUCGUAAUAUGGUUUUUUUUAGAAAAAUUUGCUGAACUCACAACGAAUUAAUACUGUGCCGAGGAAACCAUCCUCAACACUCAACUACAUGAUAUCGGGUCUCAGGUAACACAAAGUUAAAUUUACAUUUGGAAUUUGGUGUAUUAAAUUUCCACUCGCUUUAGCAAUUCCUUUCUUUUUCUUUGAGAGGGACAUGUACAUUCAGCUCUCGGAAGUAGCAAUUGCUUGGUCCUACAAGAGGUUGGGAACACUUUGUAGAUUUGGUGUGGAUGCAAAUGGUAGAAAUUUUGGACUAAGAUCCGAAUAAUGUCUUGCUCUAUAAAUAUGCUAUUGUUAAAAUGUGUUUUCCUUUAGGAAGAAAAUCUAUUUAAUUAUGAGUCAUUUAUAAGGAAAAAGUUGUCCCAACGAAGAUACCCGAUCUGAUGUAUGCGGAGAGACUAACAAGGAUUGGCAUUCAAAUUUUCAAGAAUGCAGUUAAGGAGCCAAUCUCUCGAGAGGUUAUACCUUAAUCGACGGGUGCGAUGAGAUUUAGUAGAUGGCCAUAAUGAAUUUAUGCGGAAGAAGCUAAAAGGAGAUAAUCUAGAUUAGAGAACUGUUUUUUUCUUCCAUAUCAUUGUAGUUUCUUCGUGCCAUCAUAUUACCAUCUGUUUUACUAUCUGGACUUCUAAGUUUCAUGUGGCUUGGAGAUGGUUAUUGUUUGAAAGUCUGGAUCUCAGAUUUUAAAAUGUUAUCAAAUUGGUCAUC